rnacentral:rRNA from 1 species
AUACGGAGGAUGCGAGCGUUAUCCGGAUUUAUUGGGUUUAAAGGGUGCGUAGGCCGUUUUUCAAGUCAGGGGUGAAAUGCCGGGGCUCAACUCCGGAGCUGCCCUUGAUACUGGGAGGCUGGAAUACUGUUGCCGUGGGAGGAAUGAGUAGUGUAGCGGUGAAAUGCAUAGAUAUUGCUCAGAACACCGAUUGCGAAGGCAUCUCACGAAGCAGUGAUUGACGCUGAGGCACGAAAGCGUGGGGAUCAAACAGGAUUAGAUACCCUGGUAGUCCACGCAGUAAACGAUGAUAACUAACCGUUGGCGAUAGACAGCCAGUGGCCAAGCGAAAGCGAUAAGUUAUCCACCUGGGGAGUACGACCGCAAGGUUGAAACUCAAAUGAAUUGACGGGG